rnacentral:lncRNA from 1 species
CCACAUCACCCAGUUAUAGUCCAACAUCUCCGAGCUAUAGCCCUACAUCUCCUAGUUAUAGCCCAACAUCGCCUAGCUAUAGCCCUACUUCUCCUGCAUACAGCCCCACUUCGCCUGCCUACAGCCCCACUUCGCCUGCCUACAGCCCCACUUCUCCAUCUUACAGCCCCACUUCGCCAUCUUACAGCCCCACCUCACCUUCUUACAGCCCCACCUCGCCUUCAUAUAGCCCCACCUCACCAAGUUAUAGUCCAACUUCUCCAUCAUAUAGUCCCACUUCUCCUGCAUACAGUCCUACCUCCCCUGGUUACAGCCCAACAUCUCCCAGUUACAGCCCAACAUCACCAUCAUAUAGUCCUACAUCACCAAGUUACAAUCCCUCGGCUAGAUACAGCCCCUCCCUUGCAUAUUCGCCAACCAGUCCAAAGCUGUCUCCUUCUAGUCCAUACAGCCCGUCAUCUCCAAGUUACAGGUAAAUAAUCUUUAAUUUGACACAGGUGUUUUUAUUCUUUUGCCGAGGCAAGAAUUGUUCUUAAUUUGGCUAUGUUUGAUAAUAAUUCACGACUUUUGUAGCAUCUACCUAAUUAGGUUAUCUGUGGUUUUUGAGUCUGCUUCAUUAGAACUAAUUGGUUUCCACAGUCGUUGGUGUUUUGUAUUGGUGGAUUUCAGACUGGGAUCUAGAUAUAUUACUAAUGACGUGAUUAAAUACUGUCUUGUGUUGCAGUCCAACGUCACCUUCGUACUCUCCAACAUCUCC